AGAGUUUGAUCCUGGCUCAGGAUGAACGCUGGCGGCGUGCUUAACACAUGCAAGUCGAACGGUGAACACGGAGCUUGCUCUGUGGGAUCAGUGGCGAACGGGUGAGUAACACGUGAGCAACCUGCCCCUGACUCUGGGAUAAGCGCUGGAAACGGCGUCUAAUACUGGAUAUGUGACGUGACCGCAUGGUCUGCGUCUGGAAAGAAUUUCGGUUGGGGAUGGGCUCGCGGCCUAUCAGCUUGUUGGUGAGGUAAUGGCUCACCAAGGCGUCGACGGGUAGCCGGCCUGAGAGGGUGACCGGCCACACUGGGACUGAGACACGGCCCAGACUCCUACGGGAGGCAGCAGUGGGGAAUAUUGCACAAUGGGCGCAAGCCUGAUGCAGCAACGCCGCGUGAGGGACGACGGCCUUCGGGUUGUAAACCUCUUUUAGCAGGGAAGAAGCGAAAGUGACGGUACCUGCAGAAAAAGCGCCGGCUAACUACGUGCCAGCAGCCGCGGUAAUACGUAGGGCGCAAGCGUUAUCCGGAAUUAUUGGGCGUAAAGAACUCGUAGGCGGUUUGUCGCGUCUGCUGUGAAAUCCGGAGGCUCAACCUUCGCCUGCAGUGGGUACCGGCAAACUAAAAUGCCGUAGGGGAGAAUGGAAUUCCUGGUGUAACGGUGGAAUCGCCAAUUAUCAGGAGGAACACCCAUGGCGAAGGCAGAUCUCUUGGCCCUAACUGACCUUAGGACCAAAAGGUGGGGACAAACAGGCUUAAAUCCCCUG
rnacentral:rRNA from 1 species